UAGUCCACGCCGUAAACGAUGAGUGCUAGAUAUCGGGAAUUUAUUUUUCGGUUUCGCAGCUAACGCAUUAAGCACUCCGCCUGGGGACUACGAUCGCAAGAUUAAAACUCAAAGGAAUUGACGGGGGCUCGCACAAGUGGUGGAGCAUGCGGUUUAAUUCGAUGCUACGCGAAAAACCUUACCAACCCUUGACAUGGUAGUCGCGAAUUUCAGAGAUGAAGUUCUUCAGUUCGGCUGGACUACACACAGGUGUUGCAUGGCUGUCGUCAGCUCGUGUCGUGAGAUGUUGGGUUAAGUCCCAUAACGAGCGCAACCCCUACUUCUAGUUGCCAGCGGAUAAUGCCGGGGACUCUAGAGGAACUGCCCGUGCAAACGGAGAGGAAGGUGGGGAUGACGUCAAAUCAUCACGGCCCUUACAUCUUGGGCUACACACGUGCUACAAUGGCAGGUACAAAGGGCAGCUACACAGCGACGUGAUGCUAAUCUCGAAAGCCUGU
rnacentral:rRNA from 1 species